ACUUGGUCUAAAAAUACGGCCCCUCAACCGAACAUUUAUUUGACCGGCAAAUAUUAAAGAAAGGAGACGAAGUAUUUCGAAAAUACAUCAACUCACAUUUAAGAUAGGAUGCUGCAUGCAAUGGAAAGAAGAAAAAAAGGGGCUGCUUUCUGUAAGUUGUAUUUUCUAACAAUUCUAGUGCAUAUUCCAUGAAAUGUAUUGUGUUAUUAACGGCACAAUUUAUUAGUUUAUUAAUAAUAUAUUAAAAAAAUAGGAUAACUGAAAAAGAUAUUCCUGAUAAUAUAAUGAUCCAGUGCAAGUACAGUUUGAGCAUUGAAUAUUCAUAUCAAUGUUCAUAAAAUAAGAAUAUGCGGUAUACAAUGAAAUGAUAGUUGAGUUAUUACUUAAGAAGAGUUCGGUUGAAAUUUUCAAAAAAAUAGCAGUCAAGAAAAUUUCAAGAAG